UGGGGAAUAUUGCACAAUGGGGGGAAACCCUGAUGCAGCGACGCCGCGUGAGUGAAGAAGUAUUUCGGUAUGUAAAGCUCUAUCAGCAGGGAAGAAAAUGACGGUACCUGACUAAGAAGCCCCGGCUAACUACGUGCCAGCAGCCGCGGCAAUACGUAGGGGGCGAGCGUUGUCCGGAAUUAUUGGGCGUAAAGGGAGCGCAGGUGGGAAAGUAAGUCAGUCUUAAAAGUGCGGGGCUCAACCCCGUGAGGGGAUUGAAACUACUUUUCUUGAGUGCAGGAGAGGAAAGCGGAAUUCCUAGUGUAGCGGUGAAAUGCGUAGAUAUUAGGAGGAACACCAGUGGCGAAGGCGGCUUUCUGGACUGUAACUGACACUGAGGCUCGAAAGCCAGGGGAGCGAACGGGAUUAGAUACCCUGGUAGU
rnacentral:rRNA from 1 species